GAGGAAUUUCUGCCUCGUUCACAGUCCUCCCCUUCUUCACAGCAACUAACAUCGUCUCCAACGUCUGUAGAGAGCAACCGCAACAGCUCUGCAUCAGGCCAUAUGGAUGUCCUGCAGAUCUUUAACAAGCCAGUCUUUGUAAAUGUCUUUGACUUUCAGGUCUCACCCACCUUCAAACCGCGAUCGAAUCUCCUGGCUUUGGAGCUCUCCCCCGCGCUCUUGGCGUUCUGUAAGGCCGUCCUGUACAUGGCCGCCCUCUCCUCCAGGGUGUGCUG